rnacentral:rRNA from 1 species
GGCCGGUAUGAAUGGCGUCACGAAGGCCCCACUGUCUUAAGAGGACUCUCCAUGAAAUUGAAUUCGUAGUGAAGAUGCUACGUCCAUAUUGUAAGACGAAAAGACCCCAUUGAGCUUUACUAAAGACUUGCAUGGCUCAAAAUAAUUUGAUUUAAAUAAAGAGUUUAGAUAAUGUGGGAUCCGUUUUCGGUUAAUGAAACACCACUCUUUUAUUUUAAGAGAGCUAACAUUACAGGGAUAGUGUAAGUUGGAUAGUUUGGUUGGGGCGACCACCUUUUAAAAGGUAACGAAGGUGAGCUUAAGGUCCGUAGUUAAUAGCCGGUGGCCUGACUGCAAGGGGGACGUCUCGAGCAGACACGUCCUUAGGGAUGUGGACUAUAGUGACCCGUCAUC